rnacentral:rRNA from 1 species
CCUACGGGAGACAGCAGUGAGGAAUAUUGGUCAAUGGGCGGGAGCCUGAACCAGCCAAGUCGCGUGAGGGAAGACGGUCCUAUGGAUUGUAAACUUCUUUUGUCAGGGAGCAAUUGAGUCCACGUGUGGGCUUAGCGAGAGUACCUGAAGAAAAAGCAUCGGCUAACUCCGUGCCAGCAGCCGCGGUAAUACGGAGGAUGCGAGCGUUAUCCGGAUUUAUUGGGUUUAAAGGGUGCGUAGGCGGUCGGAUAAGUUAGAGGUGAAAUCCCGAGGCUCAACUUCGGAAUUGCCUCUGAUACUGUUCGGCUAGAGAGUAGUUGCGGUAGGCGGAAUGUAUGGUGUAGCGGUGAAAUGCUUAGAGAUCAUACAGAACACCGAUUGCGAAGGCAGCUUACCAAGCUACUUCUGACGUUGAGGCACGAAAGCGUGGGGAGCAAACAGGAUUAGAUACCCGAGUAGUC